rnacentral:rRNA from 1 species
UAGUACGGCGAGUGAAGCGGCAACAGCUCAAAUUUGAAAGCUAGCCUUCGGGUUCGCAUUGUAAUUUGUAGAGGAUGCUUUGGGUAAAACGCCAGUCUAAGUUCCUUGGAACAGGACGUCAUAGAGGGUGAGAAUCCCGUAUGUGACUGGAAAUGUUAACCUAUGUAAAGCUCCUUCGACGAGUCGAGUUGUUUGGGAAUGCAGCUCUAAAUGGGAGGUAAAUUUCUUCUAAAGCUAAAUAUUGGCGAGAGACCGAUAGCGCACAAGUAGAGUGAUCGAAAGAUGAAAAGCACUUUGGAAAGAGAGUUAAAAAGCACGUGAAAUUGUUGAAAGGGAAGCGCUUGCAAUCAGACUUGUUUAAACUGUUCGGCCGGUCUUCUGACCGGUUUACUCAGUUUGGACAGGCCAGCAUCAGUUUCGGCGGCCGGAUAAAGGCUCUGGGAAUGUGGCCUCCACUUCGGUGGAGGUGUUAUAGCCCAGUGUGUAAUACGGCCAGCCGGGACUGAGGUCCGCGCUUCGGCUAGGAUGCUGGCGUAAUGGUUGUAAGCGACCCGUCU